CUGGCAACCACACCUAGCUCCCUCCCCCUGCAACCCCGCACCCCGCCUGGUAAAAGUCCAGCCCAUCUGCUGUCUGCUGCCCCACCUCCUCCGGCACCACCCCGUGCAAGCUCAGCGCCACCCAGCCCUGCACCCACCCCCAGCAUUCCACCGUCGGGUGUCCGUUGGAAGGCAGGUCUGGAAGCUCUUAGCCCAGCAUCAAACAGAGUGCUCUAGGAGCUGAGGGGAGGGCUGAAGGGCAGAGAGCAAGCAAGACAGCAGGCCUCCUUGUUACGGCAAGAAAUUGUAUUUUAUUUAUAUAUGUUAUGUCUCACUGCUCAGCAACCAGGCUCGGGGGGGGAGAGGAAGAGGUCUCCUGCUGCAGUGGGCUAGGGUGACUCAUCCCUGCACACUCUGGCCUCUGGCCCUAGGUUAGCAGACUCAUGAUAACGCCAGCGUGGACGCCAGCUGCUCUCUGGGCUGUGGAAUUCCAAGGCUUGGCACAGCACUGGCUUGCAGCUUCUCACCUGAGCAGGAGAUAACAGGGAGCUUGGACAAUAGUAGUGAGGAUUGGAUUUCACCACAUGAAGGCUUGGAGGCUCACACCAGACCCUCAGCAGCCACUCUCCUCCGUACCUCACAGGCCCCACUGCACACUUCUGCUGCUACUGUGAGUUCCUCCCCAGAGGUGGCUGCAUGUGUGUCUGACACCCCAAGGGACUGCAGACACCCUGAGGGCAACCCCCACCCCCAACUCUGCCCCACAGGCCUUCAUCUUUCUGGCCUCUUUCUAAUUCUAUUUUGAGUAUUUGCAGAGCUAAUGGAUAAAUGGAUAAUUGACAAAUGAGGGAGAAAAUAUUCAUUCUACUUUAAAGAGGCCAAGGCUUCCACCUCAAGGAAUUGGAGCUACUGAAAAAGAGCAGACAAUGUGAUUCAACACUGUUACCCUCUCUACCUUUUCAUCCAGCUCUUGAAACUUUUAAAAAAAUCAGCCCAGGAUGUAUCUCAGUGGUAUAGUACUUGCCUGGCAUGUGUGAGACCCACAUUAGAUCUCCAGUACCACAAAAAAAAAAAAUUUUCAAGGAAAUCAAAAAAAAUCAGCCCUUAUUUAAACCCAUUUCUUCCCAAUAAAAUCUAAAAACAAAAAUGUAGCAUUGUUUUAAAGGUCAUUUAGUGAAUGCAGGAUUUGGACAUUCACUCCCAUUGUUGGGACCUCAGUUUCCCCAUUUAUAUAAUACAGAGUUGGACUGUUUUUCAAAGGGUCAGGAAGGUCCUGAUCCUUUCACAUCAGUAUGUGAAAUGAAACUAGUAAGGAAUUGUUCCGCCACCUGCUGCAGAAGCACCAGGACCUGAGUUCGAUCCCCGGUACCAAAGAAAAGAAAAGAAAUUACUAAGAAAUAAAGUAUAUAGAAU
rnacentral:lncRNA from 1 species